AAUACAUGCAAGUCGAGCGGACAGAUGGGAGCUUGCUCCUGAUGUUAGCGGCGGACGGGUGAGUAACACGUGGGUAACCUGCCUGUAAGACUGGGAUAACUCCGGGAAACCGGGGCUAAUACCGGAUGGUUGUUUGAACCGCAUGGUUCAAACAUAAAAGGUGGCUUCGGCUACCACUUACAGAUGGACCCGCGGCGCAUUAGCUAGUUGGUGAGGUAACGGCUCACCAAGGCGACGAUGCGUAGCCGACCUGAGAGGGUGAUCGGCCACACUGGGACUGAGACACGGCCCAGACUCCUACGGGAGGCAGCAGUAGGGAAUCUUCCGCAAUGGACGAAAGUCUGACGGAGCAACGCCGCGUGAGUGAUGAAGGUUUUCGGAUCGUAAAGCUCUGUUGUUAGGGAAGAACAAGUACCGUUCGAAUAGGGCGGUACCUUGACGGUACCUAACCAGAAAGCCACGGCUAACUACGUGCCAGCAGCCGCGGUAAUACGUAGGUGGCAAGCGUUGUCCGGAAUUAUUGGGCGUAAAGGGCUCGCAGGCGGUUUCUUAAGUCUGAUGUGAAAGCCCCCGGCUCAACCGGGGAGGGUCAUUGGAAACUGGGGAACUUGAGUGCAGAAGAGGAGAGUGGAAUUCCACGUGUAGCGGUGAAAUGCGUAGAGAUGUGGAGGAACACCAGUGGCGAAGGCGACUCUCUGGUCUGUAACUGACGCUGAGGAGCGAAAGCGUGGGGAGCGAACAGGAUUAGAUACCCUGGUAGUCCACGCCGUAAACGAUGAGUGCUAAGUGUUAGGGGGUUUCCGCCCCUUAGUGCUGCAGCUAACGCAUUAAGCA
rnacentral:rRNA from 1 species